AAGAACAAGACGACCCUCAAAUAGUAAUUUAUUUCUACCAAAUAAAAUCCCAUCCGAAUACAUGUUAUGUAAAUAACAUGUACAUGUAGUAUAAUUUGGAAAUCAUGAAAUUAAUAGAACACAUGCAAUUUAAUGAAAAUAGAUAGAAGAGGGGUUGGUCGCAAAUGGUUAGAUUAGAUGGCUCCUCUUGUGAGGUUGUCCAAGAGAGCCGUAAGAAGAGCAUCCCUCCUCUCAGCCCUAGCUUCCUCUCUCAUCUUCCUCUCUUCCUCUCUCUCUCUCCACCAACUAUUCAUCAUCAGCCUCUCCACUCUCCAACGCCUCCAUUCUCUGCCCCCCACUCCAUCUCCCCUCUCUCUCCUCCUAUCCUCUCUCUCCUCAUAAGCUUUUAUCCACUGCAUCUCCAACUCCAUCUGCUGCCUCAUGAAUUCCUCCAUCAUCUCCUUCAAUCCAUCCACCACCGGCGAUGAAUUCCCGCUGCUGCAGCCUGAAUUCGCCGCCUUCGACACCAUUUGCGGAGAGAUGGCGCCGCCCUCCACCUCCUGCCACAUCAUUCGUUGCAUUCUCGCGUUGAAUAUGAUNNNNNNNNNNNNNNNNNNNNUAUAUAUAUAUAUAUAUAUAUAUAUAUAUUAAGAACAUUUCAUUUCAUUUACAUAUCUUAUAUUACAUAUAACAUGUGAAUUCCUUCGAAUUAAAACCAAAAGCAAGUAAACUCAUAUAAUUAACAACGUUAACAUUAAUUGCUUCAUAAUUAGCUACAUUCCAAAGUAGAACAUGAAAUUAAUUAAACACUAAUAGUAGUACUUAAUAUUCAUCAUAAUUAGUAGCUACAUGAGCACAUUCCCAAGAACAAGACGACCCUCAAAUAAUAAUUUAUUUCUACCAAAUAAAAUCCCAUCCGAAUACAUGUUAUGUAAAUAACAUGUACAUGUAGUAUAAUUUGGAAAUCAUGAAAUUAAUAGAACACAUGCAAUUUAAUAGUAAAAUAGAUAGAAGAGGGGUUGGUCGCAAAUGGUUAGAUUAGAUGGCUCCUCUUGUGAGGUUGUCCAAGAGAGCCGUAAGAAGAGCAUCCCUCCUCUCAGCCCUAGCUUCCUCUCUCAUCUUCCUCUCUUCCUCUCUCUCUCUCCACCAACUAUUCA
rnacentral:lncRNA from 1 species